GUGGGGAUGACGUCAAAUCAGCACGGCCCUUACGUCCGGGGCUACACACGUGUUACAAUGGCAGGUACAGAGAGACGGUCCCUUGCAAAAGGGAUCAAAUCCUUAAAGCCUGUCUCAGUUCGGACUGGGGUCUGCAACCCGACCCCACGAAGCUGGAUUCGCUAGUAAUCGCGCAUCAGCCAUGGCGCGGUGAAUACGUUCCCGGGCCUUGUACACACCGCCCGUCAAGCCAUGAAAGCCGGGGGUGCCUGAAGUCCGUGACCGCAAGGAUCGGCCUAGGGCAAAACUGGUAAUUGGGGCUAAGUCGUAACAAGGUAGCCGUACCGGAAGGUGCGGCUGGAACACCUCCUUU
rnacentral:rRNA from 1 species